UCAUAGCAGGACAGUGAGGACAGAAGGAUGAACUGUAGUUUGCUCCUGCAAGUUCGAAAUGAAGUCCAUGUUGGCAGAGACUCACAUGAAAGAUAUGAUCACUACUGGUGUUACAUUGGAUGUGAUCAGCAGAAAAUACUAUGUUCAGCAUGCCUGAUGGAUGUCAUCAUUAGCCUACUUCCCUGAACAGCUCCUCAGCAAACAGCAGUUGCUCUACAGGUGUCGUUUGACUGACAGGACUGGAGCAGCCAGGCUGGAGUGCAUAAGUGACUGGAUUUCUCUGUCAUGCAGCUGACUGUGUAGGCCUAUGUGUUGGUGUAUGAAGUUCUAGAGUAUUUGUCAAGCAAUAGGUGCAUUAAAGGGCAGAAUAAUCCCUGCACCAUUGCAUGGCGGGCUGGAUAGUCCACCCCAGCUUCCCAAAACAUUGAUCAAUUUGAAACACUGGAUUAUUGCCUUUGCACUUCAUAAUACCUGGAUUUUUAUUAUUGAUAUUCACUGAAGGAUGUAAACUGGCAAGGAUAUGGGUUUAUACGUCCAUGAGGCAAUAGAUGCACUAGAGGGCAGAAUAAUCCCUGCACCAUUACAGGGGGGCUGGGUAGUCCACCCCAACUACCAAAAAUAUUGACACCUGGAUUGUUGGUUGUUUAGACGCAAUGAGUGAGGUCCAUGUUCAAGCAAAAGGUUAAGUGGAUAUUGUAUUUCCUAUGGCUGUAUAUUUGAGGCAGUGAGUGCAUUUCUGCACAAAGCUGGCCUUGAGGAAACUAUGGACAGAAAUUCAGGUACAAGACUAGAGGUUUGGGACUGCACCAUGAGAGUGUUAAGAUUUUCACGAGAACUGACCAUCCAUUGAAGGAUGUAACCUUGGACCAGCCUGAGAACUUUUCUUCCCCGAGAUGAUCUUCCUGGUCGUCCAGAAUCCCUCUACUGUGAAUCUCCAUGAUGCUGUUGAUAGGAGUCCGUAGACCAUCAUAGUGAGUGUCAUCAGCUUCACUGAGGAGCUACGGGUGCACAUUCAGCACUGGAUUUAGAGGGGGUUUCACCAAAGCUUCAUGGAUGCAGGCGCCUUUCACAUGUGGGGGUACAACAUUGCAGUGACUAGAUUUAUAGAGCCACAGGUGCAUUCUGGGGCAGAAUAAUCCCUGCACCUUGGCAGGGGGGCUGGGUAGUCCACCCCAGUUCCCCAAAUCCACCGAUACACCUAAAACACUGGAUUAUUUUUUCUUGCACUUUUUGAUACCUGGAUGUAUUGUUAUUACACUGAGGGAAACAAAUGUUAAGGAGAAAAAGAUAAGGAUCUAUGUAGUUGAGUCUGAAAAGCAAUGUGUGCACUACAGGUCAGAAUAAUCCCUGCACCAUUGCAGGGGGGCUGGGUAGUCCACCCCAGCUCCUCAAAAUAUGAAUACGUCUGAAUAUGUACAUUGGAUUACUCUUUCAGUUUCUUGACAGCUGGAUUUUAGGUUUGUAUUGAGGGAGGUCCAUGUUCAAGCAUAAGUGAAGCAUGGGGACGCAUCCUCUGGCUGUGUAUUUGAGGCAGUGAAUGCACUUCAGGGCAGAAUAAUUCCUACACCACUGUAGGAGAGUUGGGUAGUCCACCUCAGCUCCCCAAAAGACAGAAACCCUCUCAGAGACCCAACAUGAAUGUGUUGGCCUUUUAACACUGCUGGCCUUGAGGAAACAAUGGACAGAUAUUCAACUACUUCAACUACAAGAGGCCUGGGACUUCAUCCCAAAAGCAGCAAAAUGUCAGGAGAACUACCCUUCUGUUGGACCAUCCUAAAAAGUUUUACUCCCCAUGUGAAUCUUCCUCAUUGUCCAGAAUUCCUCUUCUGAAAAUCUCCAUGCUGCUGUGGAUAGGGGCUGUAGACCAUCAUUGUGAGCACCAUCUGCUUCAGGGAGGAGCUACUGGUGCACAUUCAGCACUGGCUGCA